rnacentral:rRNA from 1 species
CCUGCGGAGGGAUCAUUACCGAGUUUACAACUCCCAAACCCCUGUGAACAUACCUUAAUGUUGCCUCGGCGGAUCAGCCCGCGCCCCGUAAAACGGGACGGCCCGCCAGAGGACCCAAACUCUAAUGUUUCUUAUUGUAACUUCUGAGUAAAACAAACAAAUAAAUCAAAACUUUCAACAACGGAUCUCUUGGUUCUGGCAUCGAUGAAGAACGCAGCAAAAUGCGAUAAGUAAUGUGAAUUGCAGAAUUCAGUGAAUCAUCGAAUCUUUGAACGCACAUUGCGCCCGCUGGUAUUCCGGCGGGCAUGCCUGUUCGAGCGUCAUUUCAACCCUCAAGCCCCCGGGUUUGGUGUUGGGGAUCGGCUCUGCCUUCUGGCGGCGCCGCCCCCGAAAUACAUUGGCGGUCUCGCUGCAGCCUCCAUUGCGUAGUAGCUAACACCUCGCAACUGGAACGCGGCGCGGCCAUGCCGUAAAACCCCAACUUCUGAAUGUUGACCUCGGAUCAGGUAGGAAUACCCGCUGAACUUAA